GAUGAACGCUGGCGGCGUGCCUAAUACAUGCAAGUCGAGCGAACAGACGAGGAGCUUGCUCCUCUGACGUUAGCGGCGGACGGGUGAGUAACACGUGGAUAACCUACCUAUAAGACUGGGAUAACUUCGGGAAACCGGAGCUAAUACCGGAUAAUAUAUUGAACCGCAUGGUUCAAUAGUGAAAGACGGUUUUGCUGUCACUUAUAGAUGGAUCCGCGCCGCAUUAGCUAGUUGGUAAGGUAACGGCUUACCAAGGCAACGAUGCGUAGCCGACCUGAGGGGGUGAUCGGCCACACUGGAACUGAGACACGGUCCAGACUCCUACGGGAGGCAGCAGUAGGGAAUCUUCCGCAAAGGGCGAAAGCCUGACGGAGCAACGCCGCGUGAGUGAUGAAGGUCUUCGGAUCGUAAAACUCUGUUAUUAGGGAAGAACAAAUGUGUAAGUAACUAUGCACGUCUUGACGGUACCUAAUCAGAAAGCCACGGCUAACUACGUG
rnacentral:rRNA from 1 species